UGGGGAAUAUUGGCAACAAUGGGCGCAAGGCCUGAUGCCAGCAACGCCGCAGUGAGGGAUGACGGGCCUUCGGGCUUGGUAAAACCUCUUUUAGCAGGGAAGAAGCGAAAGUGACGGUACCUGCAGAAAAAGCACCGGCUAACUACGUGCCAGCAGCCGCGGUAAUACGUAGGGUGCAAGCGUUGUCCGGAAUUAUUGGGCGUAAAGAGCUCGUAGGCGGUCUGUCGCGUCUGCUGUGAAAUCCCGAGGCUCAACCUCGGGCCUGCAGUGGGUACGGGCAGACUAGAGUGCGGUAGGGGAGAAUGGAACUCCUGGUGUAGCGGUGGAAUGCGCAGAUAUCAGGAAGAACACCGAUGGCGAAGGCAGUUCUCUGGGCCGUAACUGACGCUGAGGAGCGAAAGCGUGGGGAGCGAACAGGAUUAGAUACCCUGGU
rnacentral:rRNA from 1 species